rnacentral:rRNA from 1 species
UUGACCUCGAAUCAGGUAGGGAUACCCGCUGAACUUAAGCAUAUCAAUAAGCGGAGGAAAAGAAACCAACCGGGAUUACCCUAGUAACGGCGAGUGAAGCGGUAACAGCUCAAAUUUGAAAUCUGGCUCCCUGCGGAGUCCGAGUUGUAAUUUGUAGAAGAUGCUUUGGGUGCUCGGCCCGGUCUAAGUUCCUUGGAACAGGACGUCGUAGAGGGUGAGAAUCCCGUAUGCGGCCGGGGUGGGUGCUCGUGUAAAGCUCUUUCGACGAGUCGAGUUGUUUGGGAAUGCAGCUCAAAAUGGGUGGUAAAUUUCAUCUAAAGCUAAAUAUGGGCCAGAGACCGAUAGCGCACAAGUAGAGUGAUCGAAAGAUGAAAAGCACUUUGGAAAGAGAGUUAAACAGUACGUGAAAUUGUUGAAAGGGAAGCGCUUGCAACCAGACUUGGGCGUCGCUGAUCAUCCAAAGUUUUCUUUGGUGCACUCG